rnacentral:snoRNA from 1 species
AUUCGGGUUGAUAACUAGGCGACGGCCUCAAUUCUUAACCCACUCCACGACGUUCGCCUUUUAAGUGCCCGAGAUAUUAAAUUUGUGAACCUUGGCGGGGAUCUUACACGUUUCCGGGUUUUGCUUCCAUGCUUGGCAACGUUUAAAUUUCCGCCACAUUG